rnacentral:tRNA from 1 species
GGGGACAUGGUUCAUCAGUAGAGCACUUGCCUAGCAAGAAUGAGGCCCUGAGUUCAAAUCCCAGUAUUGUCU